AAUCAACGCUGGCGGCGCGCUUAACACAUGCAGGUCGCACGAGAAAGGGAGCAAUCCUGAGUAAAGUGGCGUACGGGUGAGUAACACGUGGGAAUCUACCUCUUGGCGGGGAAUAACCCUGGGAAACCGGGGCUAAUACCGCAUAAGCUCGUGAGAGGAAAGCAGCAAUGCACCGAGAGAGGAGCCCGCGGCCGAUUAGCUAGUUGGUGGGGUAAUGGCUCACCAAGGCGAAGAUCGGUAGCCGGCCUGAGAGGGCACACGGCCACACUGGCACUGAAACACGGGCCAGACUCCUACGGGAGGCAGCAGUGGGGAAUCUUGCACAAUGGGGGAAACCCUGAUGCAGCGACGCCGCGUGAGCGAUGAAGCCCUUCGGGGUGUAAAGCUCUUUCGACAGGAACGAUAAUGACGGUACCUGGAGAAGAAGCGGCGGCUAACUACGUG
rnacentral:rRNA from 1 species